AAGUCGUAACAAGGUUUCCGUAGGUGAACCUGCGGAAGGAUCAUUAUCGAGUAAGGGUCUACACGGCCCGACCUCCAACCCUAUGUCUACCUUACCACGUUGCUUCGGCGAGCCGGUUCGUCAGGACCGCCGGGGAUCUUGAGUGAUGCCUGGAGAGUGCUCGUCGACAGCCCCUUUAAACUCUUGAUGAAAUGUGUCGUCUGAGUACUUGAUUAAAAUCAAAACAAAACUUUCAACAACGGAUCUCUUGGUUCUG
rnacentral:misc_RNA from 1 species